GGGUUGAUUUAAAUACAAGCAUCUCUCAUAGUGUCCCGUGCUAGAGCAAACUGGCUCCUAACCAUUGCCCAGCCUCGGUGUAUGUAGGCUGCUGGCACUGAAGUGGGUCACACAGUG
ensembl:snoRNA LOC120099455 small nucleolar RNA SNORA42/SNORA80 family